rnacentral:misc_RNA from 1 species
UUGAAAUGCUUUGGAGAAGUACUGUUGCUGGCCUCUUAACAGAGGCAUGUGCACGUCUUCUUUAAAUCUAUUCAUCCACCUGUGCACUUUUUGUAGAAGUUCUUGUGAGGUUUUGGUUGUGGACUUAGGUCUGCAGUUGAUUCUUUGCGAGUCUUCUAUGUCUUACAAACUCUAUGUUUAGUGAUGUCUGAGUACUAUAUAAUAUUUA